CGGGACACGUGGUAUCCUGUCUGAAUAUGGGGGGACCAUCCUCCAAGGCUAAAUACUCCUGACUGACCGAUAGUGAACCAGUACCGUGAGGGAAAGGCGAAAAGAACCCCGGCGAGGGGAGUGAAAAAGAACCUGAAACCGUGUACGUACAAGCAGUGGGAGCACAGAGCAAUCUGUGUGACUGCGUACCUUUUGUAUAAUGGGUCAGCGACUUAUAUUCUGUAGCAAGGUUAACCGAAUAGGGGAGCCGAAGGGAAACCGAGUCUUAACUGGGCGUUAAGUUGCAGGGUAUAGACCCGAAACCCGGUGAUCUAGCCAUGGGCAGGUUGAAGGUUGGGUAACACUAACUGGAGGACCGAACCGACUAAUGUUGAAAAAUUAGCGGAUGACUUGUGGCUGGGGGUGAAAGGCCAAUCAAACCGGGAGAUAGCUGGUUCUCCCCGAAAGCUAUUUAGGUAGCGCCUCGUGAAUUCAUCUCCGGGGGUAGAGCACUGUUUCGGCAAGGGGGUCAUCCCGACUUACCAACCCGAUGCAAACUGCGAAUACCGGAGAAUGUUAUCACGGGAGACACACGGCGGGUGC
rnacentral:rRNA from 1 species